rnacentral:rRNA from 1 species
UCCACGCCGUAAACGGUGAGUGCUCGUCGUAGUGGGUAUUGACCCCUGCUGUGACCAAGCUAACGCAUGAAGCACUCCGCCUGGGAAGUACGGUCGCAAGGCUAAAACUCAAAGAAAUUGACGGGGGCCCGCACAAGCGGUGGAGCAUGUUGUUUAAUCGAAGCAACGCGCAGAACCUUACC